rnacentral:rRNA from 1 species
AUUGAACGCUGGCGGCAGGCCUAACACAUGCAAGUCGAGCGAGCGGCGGACGGGGGAGUAAAGUCUGGGAAACAGCCGGAUGGAGGGGGAUAACUACUGGAAACGGUAGCUAAUACCCCAUACAAUAAGAUGUGCCCAGAUGGGAUUAGCUAGUAGUGGGGGUAAUGGCUCACCUAGGCGAAGAUCCCUAGCUGGUCUGAUAGGAGGACCAGCCACACUGGAACUGAGACACGGUCCUGACUCCUACGGGAGGCAGCAGUGGGGAAUAUUGCACAAUGGGCGCAAGCCUGAUGCAGCCAUGCCGCGUGUAUGAAGAAGGCCUUCGGGUUGUAAAGCACUUUCAGCGGGGAGGCGUUACCCGCAGAAGAAGCACCGGCUAACUCCGUGCCAGCCGCCGCGGUAAUUC